GGGUGGUAAUGCCGGAUGUUCCAGUUGAUCGCAUGGUCUUCUGGGAAAGCUUUCGCGGUAUGGGAUGGGGUCGCGUCCUAUCAGCUUGACGGCGGGGUAACGGCCCACCGUGGCUUCGACGGGUAGCCGGCCUGAGAGGGCGACCGGCCACAUUGGGACUGAGAUACGGCCCAGACUCCUACGGGAGGCAGCAGUGGGGAAUAUUGCACAAUGGGCGCAAGCCUGAUGCAGCGACGCCGCGUGAGGGAUGGAGGCCUUCGGGUUGUAAACCUCUUUUAUCGGGGAGCAAGCGAGAGUGAGUUUACCCGUUGAAUAAGCACCGGCUAACUACGUGCCAGCAGCCGCGGUAAUACGUAGGGUGCAAGCGUUAUCCGGAAUUAUUGGGCGUAAAGGGCUCGUAGGCGGUUCGUCGCGUCCGGUGUGAAAGUCCAUCGCUUAACGGUGGAUCCGCGCCGGGUACGGGCGGGCUUGAGUGCGGUAGGGGAGACUGGAAUUCCCGGUGUAACGGUGGAAUGUGUAGAUAUCGG
rnacentral:rRNA from 2 species